rnacentral:precursor_RNA from 8 species
UGUGUAUCUGAUUUACUGAUGCUGAUCUGGAAUGACACGUUUUCUCCCGGAUCGCCAGAAAUAUGUUUCGCCACCGGGAACUUCGUGUCAGCCAAGAUUGGCAUCAAUUCCUGACAAUCAGAAG